CUGAAAAGGUGCUGUGAUUCCUUUACUGCCAUCGUCUCUGCUGUUCUUAAUUUUCUAUGUUCCCAUUUUUUCUUUAGGUCAUUCCUAACGCUCCAUUAAUGUUAUUUGUUCAGCCAUCCCAAUGGCCCAUGUUCCGGUUCAUGGAAUUCCUGUUGGUAAGGAUCCUCUUAGCUGUCGCCUUAUGUGGUAUUCGCUUUCCACAUCCUCCA